AACGCACGAGACCUGCGGACCUGCGGAAGGAUCAUUACCGAGUUUACAACUCCCAAACCCAAUGUGAACGUUACCAAACUGUUGCCUCGGCGGGAUCUCUGCCCCGGGUGCGUCGCAGCCCCGGACCAAGGCGCCCGCCGGAGGACCAACCAAAACUCCUUUGUAUACCCCCUCGCGGGUUUUUAUAUCUGAGCCAUCUCGGCGCCUCUCGUAGGCGUUUCGAAAAUGAAUCAAAACUUU
rnacentral:misc_RNA from 1 species